UACGUAGGUGGCAAGCGUUGUCCGGAUUUACUGGGCGUACAGAGCGCGCAGGCGGUCGAUCAAGUCGCGUGUGAAAGCCCCCGGCUCAACUGGGGAGGGUCACGCGAUACUGAUCGACUCGAAGGCAGGAGAGGGUAGUGGAAUUCCCGGUGUAGUGGUGAAAUGCGUAGAUAUCGGGAGGAACACCAGUGGCGAAGGCGACUACCUGGCCUGUUCUUGACGCUGAGGCGCGAAAGCUAGGGGAGCAAACGGG
rnacentral:rRNA from 1 species